rnacentral:rRNA from 1 species
CCUACGCGUGGCUUCAGUGAGGAAUAUUGGUCAAUGGCCGAGCGGCUGAACCAGCCAAGUCGCGUGAGGGUAUACGGCCCUACGGGUUUUAAACCUCUUUUUUCGGGGAGCAAAGUGCUUCCCUUGUGACUCAUUGAGAGUACCCGCAGCACAAACACCGUCUAACUCCGUGCCAGCAGCCGCGGUAAGACGGAGGUAGCGAGCGUUAUCCGGAUUUAUUGGGUUUAAUGGGUGCGCAGGCGGAGGUGCAAGUCAGCGUUCAAAUUGCAGGGCCCACCCCCGUACUGCCGUUGAAACUGCAUCCCUUGAGUGCGCGAGAAGUAUGCGGAAUGCGUGGUGUAGCGGUGAAAUGCAUAGAUAUCACGCAGAACGCCGAUUGCGAAGGCAGCAUACCGGCGCGCAACUGACGCUCAUGCACGAAAGCGUGGGUAUCGAACAGGAUUAGAUACCCCAGUAGUC